rnacentral:rRNA from 1 species
UAGCCCACGCCGUAAACGAUGUCUACUAGCCGUUGGGAAACUUGAUUUCUUAGUGGCGCAGCUAACGCAAUAAGUAGACCGCCUGGGGAGUACGGCCGCAAGGUUAAAACUCAAAUGAAUUGACGGGGCCCGCACAAGCGGUGGAGCAUGUGGUUUAAUUCGAUGCAACGCGAAGAACCUUACCAGGCCUUGACAUCCAGAGAACUUUGUAGAGAUACAUUGGUGCCUUCGGGAACUCUGUGACAGGUGCUGCAUGGCUGUCGUCAGCUCGUGUCGUGAGAUGUCGGGUUAAGUCCCGUAACGAGCGCAACCCUUGUCCUUAGUUGCCAGCACAUAAUGGUGGGAACUCUAAGGAGACUGCCGGUGACAAACCGGGAGGAAGGUGGGGACGACGUCAAGUCAUCAUGGCCCUUACGACCUGGGGCUACACACGUGCUACAAUGGUCGGUACAAACGGGUUGCGAAGUCGCGAGAUGGGAGCUAAUCU